UUUUUUUUUUUUUAUUUUUGAGACAGAGUCUUGCUCUGUUGCCCAGGCUGGAGUGCAGUGGUGUGAUCUUGGCUCGCUGCAAGCUCCACCUCCCAGGUUCACGCCAUUCUCCUGCCUCAGCCUCCCCAGUAGCUGGGACUACAGGUGCCCACCACCAUGCCUGGCUAAGUUUUUGUAUUUUUAGUAGAGACGGGGUUUCACCGUGUUAGCUGGGAUGGUCUCGAUAUCCUGACCUUGUGAUCCAACCGCCUUGGCCUCCGAAAGUGCUGGGACUACAGGUGCCCGCCACCACGCCUGGCUAAUUUUUUGUGUUUUUAGUAGAGAUGGGGUUUCACUGUGUUAGCCAGGACGGUCUCGAUCUGCUGCCCUCCGGAUCCGCCCACCUUGGCCUCCCAAAGUGCUGGGAUUACAGGCGUGGAGCCACCGCCCUCGGCCUACAAAGCUCUUCUUAUUUAAAUUAACACCUACUUAGCACUGACUGUUUAGCAGUAGAAUACUAGCUGCUAAACAGUCAGUGCUAAGUAGGUGUUAAAGAUAGAAAUAUAAGCCCCUACAUCUGUGUGCCCAGAUGGCGUUCUUAGGCCAAGCCUGGAGGAGGUCACAUUCCCUUAGCUGUGAGGGGCUGGGCAGUGUGGCCCGGCUGUGAGCCCAGGAGGAAGAGGAGGCCAUGGGUUUGGGGAGCACCUAGGAGACCCUGCCUCACACGCACUGUCUGAUGUUGGCUAAGACAGUCCUACGGGGGCACCUGAGCUCUUAUCAUUCUGUGGUUUUGUUGGUGAGCGGGUUUGUUUUCCUUUUCUAAGAAAACAAAUAGAAUCUGUGUCAGAAGCCAGACAUCUGUUUGCUUUUUUAACUUCUAGAUCAAUGAUUUUUUUAAUUGAAGUAUGAUUGACAAACAUCAGAUAUAGUUAAGUAUACAAUGUGAUGUUUGAUGUACAUAUGUGUUGUGUAACAAUCAAGCUAAGUAACCUACCCAACACCUCACAUAUGUACUUUUUCUAUUUUCUUUUCAGUGAUAACACUUAAGAUCUACUCUCUUAGCAAAUUUCAAGUAUACAAUGCAUUAUUAUGAAUAAACUAUGGUCACCAUGUUGUACAUUAGAUCUCCAUAAGUUUUUUAUCUUUAAUCAAAAGUUUGUAGCCCAUGACCAGCAUCCCCCUAUUUUCUUCCACCCAGCACCCCUGGCAACCAUCAUUCUACUCUGUUUAAAUUAAUGAUGUUUUUACAGUUUGUUAUCUUAAAAGUCAUCCAGAAAUAGGUUAAAGACUUAGAUUCUGGAGUCAGACCUCCUGAACUUAAAUACUACAUCUGCUACUUUCUAAUAAUAACAAUAAAACUGGCAAGUUACUCAAUCUCUCUAUGCCUGUUUUCUCUUUAGUAAAAUAAUAAUAUAAAUGUCAAAAAUAGCUUACAUAUCACAAGUUCUUUUAGAAUUUGAGGGUGAAAAGUCACAGCACCCAGAGAAACUGAAAGUUGAAGUAAGUCUAGCUGUUAGUAAUCAACUGUACCUUCUUUGCUGAGGGGCAGAAGACGAAACUUCAGCUAUCCUUGGUUGCUUUAUGUCAGUGUUUCCAACGUACUCAAAUCUGAGAGUAGAAUGCCAUUUCAAAUGAAAACAUUCGGGUGAAAACAACGGCCAGAGGG
ensembl:lncRNA